CCGCCGCCGCCGCUCAGCCGCUGAAGCAGCCGCAGUAGUAGCUGCAGCCAGCGCAGGCGCCGCCGGCGCCGCCGCAGUCGCCACGGCAGCCGCCGCUCAGCCCCCGCAGCAGCCGCCUCGACCCGGAAGCGAUGUAGCCGCUCCAGGCCCGAGCCCCGCGGCCGCCGCUGUCGCUGCCCUUGAACCGCAAGAAGCAGCUCGCCAAGCAGACCGUGGGCAGGUGUCCAGGCAAAGGUCACUGCCUCUAAUAGACCUUCUCUGAUGCUCCAACGUGGAUGGGGAGUCCCUCUCCUGGCCACUUACAUACGUCCACAUAGCGCCUGCUUUUCUAUAAUGCAACGCCUGUUUACUUAAACGUUUCAGAGAUCCGAGAGUAGCGAUCAUCAGUACUUCUCUCCUGGUUUGGUUUCCCAAGCGCUGUACCGAACCACCUGGCCUGGUCUCACCUACUGGUGCUUGUUAUCAUUUCUGGUUUAGAGAGAGGAAAAAUGACCUGCCGUUGUCUGCCCGGCCAGCGAGUGGCCGAGGCAGGACUUGGGGCCCGGGGUGUGACUCCGGACCCCGUGUGUUUCCGACUGUAGAGACCGGGCCGGCUGCCCGCCAGGGAAGGGUUCCUGUGGAUGAAAUGUCUUUGGUGCUUGCUGACUUGCUGGGCUAGAUGCUUUUGAGUCAAGUCUCUCACUGCCUUGUCCACAGCAACUGCCAGAGGUGAUGUUAUGGAUUCCUGAUUUAAUGAUGAGGAAGCGAGGACUCCAAGAGGUCAUCGGGCUAGUUAACGAGAGCGCUGCCGUUCAUCAGAAACCAGGGUUCUGCCUCCAAAGCAGGGAGAAGUCCUCACUUCACCCAGGCAACUCUUUCUUUAAGAAACCCCGUGUUAGAAUUCUGUGUGACGACGCUUCCACAGAAUCCUGGAAGCUGAGAGUUGGAUGUUGCUCUAGUCCAGGGGCUCCCGCCAGGGAUGGCCCCCUGGGGGACAUUUGGCAAUGGCCGGAGACGUUUUUGUUUUUGUCGUGACUUGGCUCGGGCGUGGGGUGCUCCUGGCAUCUGGCGACACAGGCCGGGGAUGCUGCUGACCAGCCUACACCGCCCAGGACAGCCUCGCCGCACAGAAUCAUCUGGUCCCAAAUGUCAAGAGUGGUGAGGUUGGGAAAGCCUGGUCGAGUCCUUUGAGAUGCUGGAUAUGUGAAUCGUGAAAACCCAAGAUGGGUGAUGUUUGCCUGCAGAGUGAAGAUGUGUUCUGUUUGGUCUGUUUCUUACGUGUGGAAGUCUUGAUGACAAUCAUUGGGCCAUACUGAACACUUGGGAGUUCUCACGUGGAAACCUGGACUUCCAGCUUCUUCUCAAAUCAUGCAAGACCUAGCGAAGCCUGGCAUCGCGCCCUCGCGACGCGAGUACACGUGGUCGUAGCUGCAGCUGCGUAGGUGCUGUCUCGUCUGGGUGGGGCAUCGACCGUCCAGUGUGCCCGGGUCCCUACCUGGCUUGUCCUGCUGUGGUACGUUCCUUGCGGACCCACCCCGCUCACAGGUCUCUAUCGACCUUCUCCAGGAGCAGCAGAGUCUCUACCUCGCGAGGUAGCCCGUUCCGUUAGGGGCAACCUGAGUCCGAGGCAUCUCUGCCCGUGAGUCCCAGGGGAGUCCUCUGCUGCCACGACGCAUCUGUCUCCCUUCCGCGAGACGGCCCUUUCUGUGUUCGGCCUCGCAAACCGUGUCCUCGCUCUAUCAGCGGUAACAUUCUCCCCCCACCCCCCACCCCCCCCCCCCCCACCUAUUCCACGCCCUGACUUCCUCCGCCUUUUCCAGGGGAGGUGGCUGUGCUUGGUUCGCUUCAGUCUGAGUGGAUCCCGUCCAGCCUCUGCAUAGAGCAGAGGAGGAAAGGAAAGUGUUCUCCCCACGACUUCUGAAUCCGAGCUUCCGUGGCCUGGUCAUCCACUGUAUUUACCUACUGUGAAAUCAAACAGGGUUGUUUAUAGGUGAGUGAAGAAAGCCCGUGGUUCACUGAACCAAAAUGAACCCUAAACAGAUGUGCUCACGUGUGGCCUUAUGGCGUUGGUUUUACACGUGAAGGCAGCAUGUCAUUCUAAGAGGAAACGAUGUCUGUGGUCGUGGUUCCCAGUGUGUCCGCGGCAGCCCCCUCCCCCCGAGAUUGGACAUGGGUAUAUGGUGUAGGGUCCCAGAGUCAGUAUGCACACCAGGCAGUCUUGUCAGACUGGAGAUGUUUGGCCUUUAUGAUUCUGUUUCUGUUUCUCAAAUGUAGGCAGAGGCCAUCGUAAUCAAUCAAGUGUAGAUCCAUGUACAAAUAUUAUUACACUCCUACCUGCCGUGUGUGUCUAUUGUCUUAAACGUGGAUGUGAAAAGUACAGCAGGCCCACGGUCCUUUUUCCAAAACCCUAGGGGCCAGAUGAGUUUUGGAAUUCAGACGUUUUCAGAUUUUAUUGUAUUUUUUUUUUAUUUCUUAUUUUUUUUUUACGUUUAUUUAUUUUUGAGACAGAGAGAGACAGAGCAUGAACGGGGGAGGGUCAGAGAGAGGGAGACAGAAUCCGAAAC